rnacentral:rRNA from 1 species
UACGGGGGGGGCAAGCGUUGUUCGGAAUUACUGGGCGUAAAGGGCUCGUAGGUGGCCAACUAAGUCAGACGUGAAAUCCCUCGGCUUAACCGGGGAACUGCGUCUGAUACUGGAUGGCUUGAGUUCGGGAGAGGGAUGCGGAAUUCCAGGUGUAGCGGUGAAAUGCGUAGAUAUCUGGAGGAACACCGGUGGCGAAGGCGGCCAUCUGGACCGCAACUGACGCUGAGGCGCGAAAGCAUGGGGAGCAAACAGG